GGACCCUUAGCUCAGUUGGUCAGAGCUUCCGGCUCAUAACCGGGUGGUCGAAGGUUCGAGUCCUUCAGGGUCCACCA
rnacentral:tRNA from 2 species